rnacentral:rRNA from 1 species
UUAAACGGCCGCGGUACCCUAACCGUGCGAAGGUAGCGCAAUCACUUGUUCUUUAAAUGAGGACUAGUAUGAAUGGCAUCACGAGGGUUAUACUGUCUCCCUCUUUUAAUCAGUGAAACUGAUCUUCCCGUGAAGAAGCGGGAAUACAUCUAUAAGACGAGAAGACCCCAUGGAGCUUUAAACUCAGUAUCAACUGCCCUCCCAAUAUAUCCACCUAAUUAAGCAGACAUGACUACUAGUUUUCGGUUGGGGUGACCGCGGAGCAAAACAAAACCUCCACGAUGAAAGGAAUUAACCUCCUAAUCAAAGAGCUACAUCUCUAAGAAUCAACAAAUUGACAUUUAUUGAUCCAAUUUUUUUGAUCAACGAACCAAGUUACCCUGGGGAUAACAGCGCAAUCCAUUUCAAGAGCCCCUAUCGACAAAUGGGUUUACGACCUCGAUGUUGGAUCAGGGUAUCCCAGUGGUGCAGCCGCUACUAAAGGUUCGUUUGUUCAACGAUUAAAACCCUACG